rnacentral:rRNA from 1 species
GAUGAACGCUGGCGGCGUGCCUAACACAUGCAAGUCGAACGGACUAGAAUGAAACCUAGUGAUUUUAGUUAGUGGCGGACGGGUGAGUAACGCGUGGGUAACCUGCCGUAUACAGGGGGAUAACACUUAGAAAUAGGUGCUAAUACCGCAUAAGCGCACAGUGUCGCAUGAUACAGUGUGAAAAGCCUUGACGGUAUACGAUGGACCCGCGUCUGAUUAGCUAGUUGGUAGGGUAACGGCUUACCAAGGCGACGAUCAGUAGCCGACCUGAGAGGGUGAUCGGCCACAUUGGAACUGAGACACGGUCCAAACUCCUACGGGAGGCAGCAGUGGGGAAUAUUGCACAAUGGGCGAAAGCCUGAUGCAGCAACGCCGCGUGAGCGAUGAAGGCCUUCGGGUCGUAAAGCUCUGUCCUCAAGGAAGAUAAUGACGGUACUUGAGGAGGAAGCCCCGGCUAACUACGUG